GCGCCGAUAGCUCAGCUGGUAGAGCAAGUGACUCUUAAUCACUGGGUCGCAGGUUCGAUCCCUGCUCGGCGCA
rnacentral:tRNA from 1 species